UCUUCUGCUUUUACUGCUCCUCAAGAACUUGACAUCAGAGAAAAGAAUACAUUAAUCUGCUCCUCUCACAAGGUGAGGAUAGAGAUAAUAAACCUUUAUUUGUGGUAACAAGCAGGAGAGGCUGGCGGAAGCAGGGCAGACAUCGGACUCUAUUGACUGACCCAGGCACCGGCUAGAGUUCAGAUGAGAUGUGCAGGCAGUAAUUCUUCUUCAUGCUGCUGAACUGUAUCUAAAGCAGGCAUGCUGGGAAGAGCAGGGUCCAGUGGUCAGCCCCGGUGAUCUGGCCCUGCACAGACUGCUCGCUGGGAGGAGGAUCGCAGCAGGUGGAGUUCUAAGCCCUUUAGCUUAACUGGGUCUUCAUUCUUCUGCUGUGUUCAUGAUGAAGCACUCGUGCCUGGAUUAUGGGAACUUCAACAGCUAUCCACACUGCUCCUCGCCAGGCUCCAGCAGCUGAAACAAUGUUUCCAUCAUCGGCUCAAACAAUCAACGCAUGUGUGCACUUAGCUUUUCUCCAGCUUUGCUUAGCAGAACUCAACUUUCACUCAUGUCGUGAUGGUAAUACUUCUCCAGCCUCCAUGGCUGCUCAUGUGGCUUCUAUCACAGACAGACAGUUUUUAUUCUUCUCCAUAACACGAGAUAAGCAUAGUGUAAAACACCCAACUGGGGAGUGGAGAAGUGGCUCAGAAGUUAAGCGUAUUGUGCAUUGUUCUUGCAAAGGACCGGAGUUUGAUUCC